UACGUAGGGGGCAAGCGUUGUCCGGAUUCAUUGGGCGUAAAGAGCGUGUAGGCGGCCCGAUAAGUCCGCUGUGAAAGUCCAGGGCUCAACCCUGGGAUGCCGGUGGAUACUGUCGGGCUCGAGUCCGGAAGAGGCGAGGUGGAAUUCCUGGUGUAGCGGUGAAAUGCGGCAGAUAUCAGGAGGAACACCAAUGGCGAAGGCAGCUCGCUGGGACGUGACUGACGCUGAGACGCGAAAGCGUGGGGAGCAACAGG
rnacentral:rRNA from 1 species